rnacentral:lncRNA from 1 species
AUGGAGCCAGCAUUCACAGCAGUUCUUUCCUACCAACACAAAGAAAGGCAGAAAGCACAUGUUCUCGGAGUGUGUGUCAGCAGUAAGGGAUUGGUUGGACAUAGGAAGAACAUAGAGCUAUGGUUACUUAACGGUACGGGAAGAGCACCAUCCUCUUUCACCUUUUGCUGCAUUGUUAAUGGUAAAGUAUGAAUCAUAGUUAUCGCUUGGUACGUUUUCAUCGUGAUGCAUGGUGAUUCGGAUGUGCGUAUCUGUAAUUAAUAGGAGGGAGUUGCAUGGCUAAUUCCCUGUGCAGUGCUGACAUCCUGUCUGCAGCUUUGUCCCUGAUCUUUUAGUUACGUGUCUUAAACAGCCGGUUAUUGCAUUACAUCCUUGUAUUAUAUAAAUAAAGCCUUGACCUUUGUCCUUUAUAAUAUUGGU